CCUACGGGUGGCAGCAGUGGGGAAUAUUGCACAAUGGGGGAAACCCUGAUGCAGCGACGCCGCGUGAGCGAGGAAGUAUUUCGGUAUGUAAAGCUCUAUCAGCAGGGACGAAAAAAGACGGUACCUGACUAAGAAGCCCCGGCUAACUACGUGCCAGCAGCCGCGGUAAUACGUAGGGGGCAAGCGUUGUCCGGAUUUACUGGGUGUAAAGGGAGCGUAGACGGCAGCACAAGUCUGGAGUGAAAUCACGGGGCUUAACCCCGGAACUGCUUUGGAAACUGUGCGGCUGGAGUGCAGGAGGGGUAAGCGGAAUUCCUAGUGUAGCGGUGAAAUGCGUAGAUAUUAGGAGGAACACCGGUGGCGAAGGCGGCUUACUGGACUGUAACUGACGUUGAGGCUCGAAAGCGUGGGGAGCAAACAGGAUUAGAUACCCCAGUAGUC
rnacentral:rRNA from 1 species